GACGAACGCUGGCGGCGUGCUUAACACAUGCAAGUCGAACGAAGAGCGACGGAAGCUUGCUUCUAUCAAUCUUAGUGGCGAACGGGUGAGUAACGCGUAAUCAACCUGCCCUUCAGAGGGGGACAACAGUUGGAAACGACUGCUAAUACCGCAUACGAUCUAACCUCGGCAUCGAGGAUAGAUGAAAGGUGGCCUCUACAUGUAAGCUAUCACUGAAGGAGGGGAUUGCGUCUGAUUAGCUAGUUGGAGGGGUAACGGCCCACCAAGGCGAUGAUCAGUAGCCGGUCUGAGAGGAUGAACGGCCACAUUGGGACUGAGACACGGCCCAGACUCCUACGGGAGGCAGCAGUGGGGAAUCUUCCGCAAUGGACGAAAGUCUGACGGGGCAACGCCGCGUGAGUGAUGACGGCCUUCGGGUUGUAAAGCUCUGUUAAUCGGGACGAAAGGCCUUCUUGCGAAUAGUGGGAAGGAUUGACGGUACCGGAAUAGAAAGCCACGGCUAACUACGUG
rnacentral:rRNA from 1 species